rnacentral:rRNA from 1 species
GACAGAGGGUGCAAACGUUGCUCGGAAUUAUUGGGCGUAAAGCGCACGUAGGCGGCUUUGCAAGUCGGAAGUGAAAGCCCUCGGCUCAACCAAGGAAGUGCUUUCGAAACUGCAAAGCUUGAGUACUUAAGAGGAUCGCGGAAUUCCCGGUGUAGAGGUGAAAUUCGUAGAUAUCGGGAGGAACACCAGUGGCGAAGGCGGCGAUCUGGGAAGAUACUGACGCUGAGGUGCGAAAGCGUGGGGAGCAAACAGG